AAUAAAACAAUACGUGCCUCUCGACCCUCUCGACCCUCUCUCUCGACAUCUCGACCUUCAGAAUAGCUUCUCGAUCCUAAUUCUCUUUGUCACUGUUCUUCUCUUCACUAACUCCACUCCUAAUUGUCUCUCUACCUCUACUCCGAUUUACUCUGUCACUGUGUUGCUUGACCUCCGAUUUACUCUUAUCCCUGAAACCCUAAUUCACCAAUUAGGGCUCGCUCUUCAUCUUUGAUUGAAAUUGAUCUCGUUGGUAGGACGACAUCAACGAGAGAAAAAGAGACAUAAGCCAUAAACACGAUGCACUACAUGGAGGUGAACACCACUGGCGCCACCAACAAGCUCAAUGAGGUCGACAUCGAGUCCGGCGAGGUCUUGUACCCCGGCCCCUCAGUAAAGGCGUGAACCAGCAAGAUCUACGGCAUCUUAUCCGCUCAGCUUCUCCUCACCACCGCUAUCUGCUUCGUCACCGUUGUCUACACUUCUGUCAAGGAUGAGAUGGAAAUGGCAAAGGCUAGUGAGGAAGUUGUGGUGGAGAAUUCUAAUACAUGUGAAGAAUGUGGUGCUGGUUUCAAGAAACCUGAAUAUCUCAAGCAGCAUAUGCAAAGCCAUUCUCUUGAGGAAUCAACAUGUUUAAGAACUAUACCGUUUGGAUCACGUGAAGCAUUGGAUCCCACCAAAUCCCACCAAAGAACUCCAAAAUGCGAAUGUAGCAAAUGGGCAGUUUGAUAGAUACUCUUAUGAUUCUUUCGGGUGACCUUGUCCAAGUUGUUACAAAAGGUAUGCAAUUCAUGGAAUUCCUUGGAUCUGCUUCUCACAUUGAUUUGAGCUCACUACCCUCAAUGGCUAUCAUAGGUACAGCAUCAAGGGACGUGUUUAUCCAGCGAUCCUCUCCGUCAAGAAUAACAAAGUCACCGGAAAGGCAAGC